GUGAGUCAUCGAAUCUUUGAACGCACAUUGCGCCCCUUGGUAUUCCGAGGGGCAUGCCUGUUCGAGCGUCAUUACACCACUCAAGCACUGCUUGGUAUUGGGCACCCGUCCGCCGAAAGGCGGGCGUGCCUCGAAGACCUCGGCGGGGUUUCACCAACUUCGGGCGUAGUAGAGUUAAAUCAAAACGUCUUAUAAGCUUGGUGGGGCCUCAUUGCCGUUAAACCUUUUAUUUUUCAGGUUGACCUCGGAUCAGGUAGGGAUACCCGCUGAACUUAAGCAUAUCAAUAAGCGGAGGA
rnacentral:misc_RNA from 1 species